rnacentral:rRNA from 1 species
GUCGAACGGAUCCUUCGGGAUUAGUGGCAGACGGGUGAGUAACGCGUGGGAAGCUACCUUGUGGUAGGGGACAACAGUUGGAAACGACUGCUAAUACCCUAUGAGCCCUAUGGGGGAAAGAUUUAUCGCCAUGAGAUGUGCCCGCGUUAGAUUAGCUAGUUGGUAAGGUAAUGGCUUACCAAGGCGACGAUCUAUAGCUGGUCUGAGAGGAUGAUCAGCCACACUGGGACUGAGACACGGCCCAGACUCCUACGGGAGGCAGCAGUGGGGAAUAUUGGACAAUGGGGGCAACCCUGAUCCAGCCAUGCCGCGUGUGUGAUGACGGCCUUAGGGUUGUAAAGCACUUUCAGCAGUGAAGAUAAUGACAUUAACUGCAGAAGAAGCCCCGGCUAACUUCGUGCCAGCAGCCGCGGUAAUACGAAGGGGGCUAGCGUUGUUCGGAAUCACUGGGCGUAAAGAGUACGUAGGCGGACUGAUAAGUUAGGGGUGAAAUCCCAAGGCUCAACCUUGGAACUGCCUUUGAUACUGUCAGUCUUGAGAUCGAGAGAGGUGAGUGGAACUCCGAGUGUAGAGGUGAAAUUCGUAGAUAUUCGGAAGAACACCAGUGGCGAAGGCGGCUCACUGGCUCGAUACUGACGCUGAGGUACGAAAGCGUGGGGAGCAAACA